rnacentral:rRNA from 1 species
UCGAGAAUUUUUCACAAUGGGCGAAAGCCUGAUGGAGCGACGCCGCGUGGGGGAUGAAUGGCUUCGGCCCGUAAACCCCUGUCAUUCGCGAGCAAACGUUAUUAUUUAAAAGAUGAUAGCCUGACAGUAGCGAAAGAGAAAGGGACGGCUAACUCUGUGCCAGCAGCCGCGGUAAUACAGAGGUCCCAAGCGUUGUUCGGAUUUACUGGGCGUAAAGGGUGCGUAGGCGGUGGGGUAAGUCGGAUGUGAAAUCUCCGAGCUCAACUCGGAAAGUGCAUUGGAAACUACCCUGCUCGAGGGUUGGAGGGGGGGCUGGAAUACUUGGUGUAGCAGUGAAAUGCGUAGAUAUCAAGUGGAACACCAGUGGCGAAGGCGAGUCCCUGGACGACUCCUGACACUGAGGCACGAA